UGGGGAAUAUUGGACAAUGGGCGCAAGCCUGAUCCAGCAAUGCCGCGUGUGUGAAGAAGGUCUUCGGAUUGUAAAGCACUUUCGACGGGGACGAUGAUGACGGUACCUGUAGAAGAAGCCCCGGCUAACUUCGUGCCAGCAGCCGCGGUAAUACGAAGGGGGCUAGCGUUGCUCGGAAUGACUGGGCGUAAAGGGCGCGUAGGCGGUUUAGACAGUCAGAUGUGAAAAUCCGGGGCUCAACCCUGGGACGGCACUUGAUACGUUUAGGCUAGAGUGUGAGAGAGGGUUGUGGAAUUCCCAGUGUAGAGGUGAAAUUCGUAGAUAUUGGGAAGAACACCGGUGGCGAAGGCGGCAACCUGGCUCACUACUGACGCUGAGGCGCGAAAGCGUGGGGAGCAAACAGG
rnacentral:rRNA from 1 species